CAGUCGCCACGGUAAGACAGAGGAUGCAAGCGUUAUCCGGAAUGAUUGGGUGUAAAGCGCACGUAGGCGGAUCUUUAAGUCAGGGGUGAAAUCCCGAGGCUCAACCUCGGAACUGCCUUUGAUACUGGGGAUCUCGAGUCCGGAAGAGGUAAGUGGAACUGCGGGUGUAGAGGUGAAAUUCGUAGAUAUUCGCAAGAACACCAGUGGCGAAGGCGGCUUACUGGUCCGGAACUGACGCUGAGGUGCGAAAGCGUGGGGAGCAAACAGGAUUAGAUACCCCUGUAGUCCCUGUCUCUUAUAU
rnacentral:rRNA from 1 species